AUAGCGGGCUAUACAUGCAGUCGAGCGGACAGAUGGGAGCUUGCUCCCUGAUGUUAGCGGCGGACGGGUGAGUAACACGUGGGUAACCUGCCUGUAAGACUGGGAUAACUCCGGGAAACCGGGGCUAAUACCGGAUGGUUGUUUGAACCGCAUGGUUCAGACAUAAAAGGUGGCUUCGGCUACCACUUACAGAUGGACCCGCGGCGCAUUAGCUAGUUGGUGAGGUAACGGCUCACCAAGGCGACGAUGCGUAGCCGACCUGAGAGGGUGAUCGGCCACACUGGGACUGAGACACGGCCCAGACUCCUACGGGAGGCAGCAGUAGGGAAUCUUCCGCAAUGGACGAAAGUCUGACGGAGCAACGCCGCGUGAGUGAUGAAGGUUUUCGGAUCGUAAAGCUCUGUUGUUAGGGAAGAACAAGUGCCGUUCAAAUAGGGCGGCACCUUGACGGUACCUAACCAGAAAGCCACGGCUAACUACGUGCCAGCAGCCGCGGUAAUACGUAGGUGGCAAGCGUUGUCCGGAAUUAUUGGGCGUAAAGGGCUCGCAGGCGGUUUCUUAAGUCUGAUGUGAAAGCCCCCGGCUCAACCGGGGAGGGUCAUUGGAAACUGGGGAACUUGAGUGCAGAAGAGGAGAGUGGAAUUCCACGUGUAGCGGUGAAAUGCGUAGAGAUGUGGAGGAACACCAGUGGCGAAGGCGACUCUCUGGUCUGUAACUGACGCUGAGGAGCGAAAGCGUGGGGAGCGAACAGGAUUAGAUACCCUGGUAGUCCACGCCGUAAACGAUGAGUGCUAAGUGUUAGGGGGUUUCCGCCCCUUAGUGCUGCAGCUAACGCAUUAAGCACUCCGCCUGGGGGAGUACGGUCGCAAGACUGAAACUCAAAGGAAUUGACGGGGGCCCGCACAAGCGGUGGAAGCAUGUGGUUUAAUUCGAAGCAACGCGAAGAACCUUACCAGGUCUUGACAUCCUCUGACAAUCCUAGAGAUAGGACGUCCCCUUCGGGGGCAGAGUGACAGGUGGUGCAUGGUUGUCGUCAGCUCGUGUCGUGAGAUGUUGGGUUAAGUCCCGCAACGAGCGCAACCCUUGAUCUUAGUUGCCAGCAUUCAGUUGGGCACUCUAAGGUGACUGCCGGUGACAAACCGGAGGAAGGUGGGGAUGACGUCAAAUCAUCAUGCCCCUUAUGACCUGGGCUACACACGUGCUACAAUGGACAGAACAAAGGGCAGCGAAACCGCGAGGUUAAGCCAAUCCCACAAAUCUGUUCUCAGUUCGGAUCGCAGUCUGCAACUCGACUGCGUGAAGCUGGAAUCGCUAGUAAUCGCGGAUCAGCAUGCCGCGGUGAAUACGUUCCCGGGCCUUGUACACACCGCCCGUCACACCACGAGAGUUUGUAACACCCGAAGUCGGUGAGGUAACCUUUAGGAGCCAGCCGCCGAAGUGACAGAUCCG
rnacentral:rRNA from 1 species